GUAGAGUGGCCAAGCAGCGGUCUGAGCGGGUCCCGGGGCCUCCGGCGCGGUGGGUCUCGGCUGCGCCCCGGGUGCGGACCAUGAUGUUUCCAGCCUGGGAGCCGGUCCGGGCGGGGAAUCCCGGCUGCCGGGGGCGCGGGUUGAGGCUCUGCGGGCCCGCGCCCAGAGCGGGUGGGAGUCACGGGUCUCCCGGAGGCCCAGUAGCGCGCGGUGAAGUUGUCCAGUAAAAAUUUAUGGAGCGCCUACGGGGAGCAGGGAUUCUCGUUAAAAUCUGGGAAUCAGCAAGCCCUAGUUCCUUACAGAGCAGGACAGAUUCCUCGGUUUUGUCCGAGGGACGCCUUCUUCGGAACCGAGUGCGGUGGGCUAGGACUAUACGUUUGCAAGUUUAAGAGAUAAGCGAGAAGACCAGACAGAGCAAACAAUAAAAGGCUUUUUGUUGAGAACUGUAUAAAUGUAAGGGAGUACCAAAUCCCCUAUUUUGAAUGACAGUAUCACGGACUUUAUUACAUAUGUAAUUUUAUUCUGAUUAUGAAAGCAUCAGUAAUUUCACUAUUGAGGAAUAACCACAAUGUUUAUGAAUAUUUCCUUUGCUUCUAAAUAUGCGGUCUUUUUAAAUCAUGUAUUUUAUUUCAUUUGUAUAUAUAGUUUUUCGCUGUGUAAACUUCCUUUUUGCAAAAUUCUACGUCACAAAUUGAACAAGGCAAUUAGAUGUCUAGGGAAGUACUGAUGCACGAGAAAGCAUAUUGCAGCAUUGGUUAAUAAAACGAAAAAAUAGAAACCUAAGAUUUAACAAAGGGAAGUUGUUAACUAGUGGUGUAAACACUCAACACAGACAUGUCUUCAUACAGCAAACAUUUGUUGAGUACAAUGCUGAAUGAAACACAUUGAGAAACACUCUAUAGUGGGGAAGUAGCAAAUAUUUCAAUUCAGUGAGCAAUUGCUAAUGAAUGGAAAAUAUGACACAUAGAAUCUAUCUUCUCCCAGGGAGUUUGUAAUCUGUUAGUGAAGCAGGAAAGAAUAAUCAAGCAAUACUUUUUUGUUUGGACCAAAAGGGUGAGAAUAGACUAUAAACUCAUUUCAGGUUUUGUUUACUCUAGAACGUAAUCAUUUUUCUUCUCACAUGCCAUGUUGAUUUUAAUCUAAUCUCUUUAAAAUAUAUCCCCCUGAUUUCCAUCUUUCUUAGGAGAGAGGUGUCCCAUUUUGCGAAAGGACGUGAGUGUAUCUUGUCCUCCAUGUAAUGAAAGGGAGGGAUUACUUGCUAGGCUGCAUUCUGGGAAUGGUGAAACAGAGAUGGUGGUAAGUCAAGGAAUUUGUCCAAGGGCAAACUGCAUGCCUGUGGCAGAGCUUAGAAUAAUAUCCAGACCUAGGUUCCAACCCACUGUUAGAUUUUUUUUAACUUUGGAAUUUAUUUUGCAUAGAGUAUUAAGGGCUAGGAAGAUAAAAUAGGUUAUAGUGAUAGGGUACUUCGUGUACGUCUUUCCUCACUUCAGAUGACUGGGUUUUUUAAAGGAUUAUUUAGACUAUAUACAUAUUUAUUUAGCUGUACAGGAGUAGACUGACAUAUAUACGUGGUGAUGGAUCCCCAAGACAGAUCCUGUAACUGUGGCAGGAGGAUUGUGGAUAGGAUGGUGUCUACUGACUAUUCCCAAUGCCAGUGAUCUAAUUGGUUGGUCACCCAGAUUUUGCUCAACUCUGAUAAUUGUCAGAUGCAUUCCAACUAGAACUACUCCAUCUUAAAUGGGGCUGGGUAAGAUGAGGCUGAGACCUAUUGGGCUGCAUUCCCAGAUAGUUAAGGCAUUCUAAGUCACAGGAUGAGAUAGGAGGUCAGCACAAGAUACAGGUCAUGAAGACCUUGCUGAUAAACAGGUUGCAGUAAAGAAGCCAGCUAAAACCCACCAAAACCAAGAUGGUGACGAGAGUGACCUCUGGUCAUCCUCACUGCUACACUCCCACCAGCGCCAUGACAGUUUAUAAAUGCCAUGGCAACAUCAGGAAGUUACCCUAUGUGGUCUAAAAAUGGUAGACAUGAAUAAUCCACCCCUUGUUUAGCAUAUAAUCAAGAAAUAACCAUAAAAAUGGGCAACCAGCAGCCCUCGGGGCUGCUCUGCCUAAGGAGUAGCCAUUGUUUUAUUCCUUUACUUUCCUAAUAAACUUGCUUUCACUUUACUCUGUGGCCUCACCCUCAAUUCUUUCUUGAGUGAGAUCCAAGAACCCUGCCUCUCCUGUGGUCUGGAUUGGGACCCCUUUCCUGUAACAAUCAUUACCAAUCUCAGAUUUCCUUUGAGACUCUCAUUUUUUAAAAGCUCCAAAGAGAAGAAGAGUAGAUUCAUAACAUCUUUUUCAUCUGAUGAAGCAACCAUACACAAGCCAACUUAGGCAUUUGAAGAUACAAUCCAAAUCCAUGAAAGAAAACAGGAAAACUCAAAACUUAACAUAUUAAGAUUGCCUUUAGACUGGAAUUUUUUUUUUUUUCAAAAAAGGAUUGCAUUGUAUGAGAAAUUGUGGAAGUGGGGUAGGGCUCAGUUGUGUGAAUGGCACAGUGAUUCAGUGUCCAUACGUGUGACAGACAUUGAUGGGCAUCUCUUGAGUGUCGUUAUUACACCAGGAGCAGUGCGCCCUGAGGGACGUGGGGUUGGAGAGCA
rnacentral:lncRNA from 1 species